UAUGUGAUCGUCUCUCGCAUAUCAAUAAGCGGAGGAAAAGAAACUAACAAGGAUUCCCCUAGUAACGGCGAGUGAAGCGGGAAGAGCUCAAAUUUGAAAUCUUAAAGGGUUUCCCUUUACGAAUUGUAGUUUAAAGAAGUGUUUUCUGUUGAGGUUUUGGUAAAAGUUCUUUGGAAUAGGACAUCAUAGAGGGUGAGAAUCCCGUAUUUGACCUUUACUUUCAACUUUGUGAUACACCUUCAAAGAGUCGGAUUGUUUGGGAAUGCAGUCCAAAAUGGGUGGUAAAUUUCAUCUAAAGCUAAAUAUUGGCGAGAGACCGAUAGCGAACAAGUACCGUGAGGGAAAGAUGAAAAGAACUUUGAAAAGAGAGUUAAACAGUACGUGAAAUUGUCAAAAGGGAAGCGUUUGACACCAGUGUUGUUUUUCUGAAAAUCAAUUAAAGAACUGUUUAUGCUAAGUUGUUUAGACUUUAUCAGCUAUCUGCUUAGUUUUGAGCUUUUCUUUAAUGCACUUUUCAGUUAACAAGUCAACAUCAAUUUCUUUUGCUGUAAAAAAGCUUGAGGAAGGUGGCUUGAGAUUCGUCUUAAGUGUUUAUAGCCUCUUGCCUAUGCAGUCGGAGAGAUUGAGGUCUGCAGCGUAGAUCCUUCGGGGCUAAAUGCAUUUGUGCUAAGUUAUAGCAUUUCAUAGACAACUUGUUGACUAUGAUUUGUCCUGUAGCUUACUCGCUUAUGUUAUUUUACCUACGCUUAGGAUGUUGAUCUACAGAGCGAGAGU
rnacentral:rRNA from 1 species